rnacentral:rRNA from 1 species
ACGGAGGAUCCAAGCGUUAUCCGGAAUCAUUGGGUUUAAAGGGUCCGCAGGCUGUUUUUUAAGUCAGAGGUGAAAUCCUACAGCUCAACUGUAGAACUGCCUUUGAUACUGAAAAACUUGAGUUAUUGUGAAGUGGUUAGAAUGUGUGGUGUAGCGGUGAAAUGCAUAGAUAUCACACAGAAUACCGAUUGCGAAGGCAGAUCACUAACAAUAUACUGACGCUCAUGGACGAAAGCGUGGGGAGCGAACAGG